rnacentral:rRNA from 1 species
GGCUCAGGAUAGAACGCUAGCGACAGGCUAACACAUGCAAGUCGAGGGGCAGCAUAGAAGUAGCAAUACUUGGUGGCGACCGGCGCACGGGUGAGUAACGCGUAUGCAACCUACCUAUCAGAGGGGAAUAACCCGGCGAAAGUCGGACUAAUACCGCAUAAAACAGGGGCACCGCAUGGUGAUAUUUGUUAAAGAAAUUCGCUGAUAGAUGGGCAUGCGUUCCAUUAGGUAGUUGGUGAGGUAACGGCUCACCAAGCCGACGAUGGAUAGGGAACUGAGAGGUUGGUCCCCCACACUGGUACUGAGACACGGACCAGACUCCUACGGGAGGCAGCAGUGAGGAAUAUUGGUCAAUGGGCGGGAGCCUGAACCAGCCAAGUCGCGUGAAAGGAAGAAGGAUCUAUGGUUCGUAAACUUCUUUUGCAGGGGAAUAAAGUGCAGGACGUGUCCUGUUUUGUAUGUACCCUGAGAAUAAGGAUCGGCUAACUCCGUGCCAGCAGCUGC